UACGGAGGGUGCAAGCGUUAUCCGGAUUCACUGGGUUUAAAGGGUGCGUAGGCGGGCAGGUAAGUCAGUGGUGAAAUCUUUGGGCUUAACCCGAAAACUGCCAUUGAUACUAUCUGUCUUGAAUAUUGUGGAGGUUUGCGGAAUAUGUCAUGUAGCGGUGAAAUGCUUAGAUAUGACAUAGAACACCUAUUGCGAAGGCAGCAAACUACGCAUAUAUUGACGCUGAGGCACGAAAGCGUGGGGGAUCAAAACAGG
rnacentral:rRNA from 1 species